rnacentral:rRNA from 1 species
GAACUAGCGGAGGGAUCAUUACCGAGUUUACAACUCCCAAACCCAAUGUGAACGUUACCAAACUGUUGCCUCGGCGGGAUCUCUGCCCCGGGUGCGUCGCAGCCCCGGACCAAGGCGCCCGCCGGAGGACCAACCAAAACUCUUUUUGUAUACCCCCUCGCGGGUUUUUUAUAAUCUGAGCCUUCUCGGCGCCUCUCGUAGGCGUUUCGAAAAUGAAUCAAAACUUUCAACAACGGAUCUCUUGGUUCUGGCAUCGAUGAAGAACGCAGCGAAAUGCGAUAAGUAAUGUGAAUUGCAGAAUUCAGUGAAUCAUCGAAUCUUUGAACGCACAUUGCGCCCGCCAGUAUUCUGGCGGGCAUGCCUGUCCGAGCGUCAUUUCAACCCUCGAACCCCUCCGGGGGGUCGGCGUUGGGGAUCGGCCCUCCCUUAGCGGGUGGCCGUCUCCGAAAUACAGUGGCGGUCUCGCCGCAGCCUCUCCUGCGCAGUAGUUUGCACACUCGCAUCGGGAGCGCGGCGCGUCCACAGCCGUUAAACACCCAACUUCUGAAAUGUUGACCUCGGAUCAGGUAGA